rnacentral:lncRNA from 1 species
GCAAAAUAUUUUGUUUUGUUUUUUGUGUUUGUCAAUAUUUUGUGUGAUUGUCAUAUUGGCUGAAAUGACCACACUGAUCAUGAUCCAGUCCUUCCUGAGAGUAUAUUCAGCUCACAGAGGAGGUGUAGUCAGGUAGGCAGGACACCGACACGCACACACACCCACACCCACACCCACAGUCCAUUCAGCUUCAUUGAUCCCCCUUAUAUUCUUCCUACUCACCACCGUCCUCUCUGCCUCAGAUCCACGUCUGUGAUUCAUCAGCAGCGCUCUGACAUUCAGGUUCUCGUCUGUGCGUCGCCCACACUCCCACGCAGCGCCGAUGAGCUUGUAAUGCACAUUCAGGAGCAGAGUGGAGCCCGUCCAGUCAAAAAGAGGUCAUCACUGCGAGGCUGAUUUCACAAACCUGACAAAGGCGUCAAUUCAGACUAUUUCUGUCUCACAAAAGGCCCGAACAAUGGAGAGGCGGCUCCCAGAAUCUGUUAACGGAGAGAGAGAGACAGUUGAAAACGCUGCUGGCAUUUGUACAUCGCUCUCAUACGAAGAAAAAAGAACAAGAUCAGAGGGUGUGAGUGGUUAUUAUCACCACAGAGGAGAGAAGUGAAAAAUUAAACAGAGAGGAGGUUGACUGAGUUCUCCUACCUGUUAGGAUUUUAUCAUAUUUCUCUCUAUGAUAAAAAUAACAUGUGGAUGUUCAGAGCGCCCACACUUUUGCGUGUCUUUGUCAUUUUGCUCGAACUGUUCACAGACUCUUCAGCUCCAAAUCUCCAAAUCCAACCUUCAGAUUUCAUGAGAGACGGAUCAGAGUUUGAGUUCAUGAGUGUUGGAGAGAUAAGAGUCCAGAAACAUGUACGUCAGGUCCACCCUCAUCAGGCUGGAGAGAGAUUUUCUCAAUGAUUAUCAGAUUAUCCCAAAAAUGAUGCUGAGAAACAAGAUACAUCAUGACAGAGUGAAACCAUACGAAGGGAAAUGAUAUGAUUCAGUACUACAUAUGAGAGGACGCUGUGAGGGGGUUAAAACAUUAUGAUAUGAUUCUGUAUAAUUCAGUAUGAUG